ACUCCUACGGGUGGCUGCAGUGGGGAAUAUUGGACAAUGGGCGAAAGCCUGAUCCAGCCAUGCCGCGUGUGUGAAGAAGGCCUUUUGGUUGUAAAGCACUUUAAGUGGGGAGGAAAAGCUUGUGGUUAAUACCCAUAAGCCCUGACGUUACCCACAGAAUAAGCACCGGCUAACUCUGUGCCAGCAGCCGCGGUAAUACAGAGGGUGCAAGCGUUAAUCGGAAUUACUGGGCGUAAAGCGAGCGUAGGUGGUCAUUUAAGUCAGAUGUGAAAGCCCCGGGCUUAACCUGGGAACUGCAUCUGAUACGGGGUGACUAGAGUAGGUGAGAGGGAAGUAGAAUUCCAGGUGUAGCGGUGAAAUGCGUAGAGAUCUGGAGGAAUACCGAUGGCGAAGGCAGCUUCCUGGCAUCAUACUGACACUGAGGUUCGAAAGCGUGGGUAGCAAACAGGAUUAGAUACCCUGGUAGUCCACGCCGUAAACGAUGUCUACCAGUCGUUGGGUCUCUUGAAGACUUAGUGACGCGGUUAACGCAAUAAGUAGACCGCCUGGGGAGUACGGCCGCAAGGUUAAAACUCAAAUGAAUUGACGGGGGCCCGCACAAGCGGUGGAGCAUGUGGUUUAAUUCGAUGCAACGCGAAGAACCUUACCUGGUCUUGACAUAGUGAGAAUCCUGCAGAGAUGCGGGAGUGCCUUCGGGAAUUCACAUACAGGUGAUGCAUGGAUGUCGUCAGCUCG
rnacentral:rRNA from 1 species